rnacentral:rRNA from 1 species
UACGUAGGGGGCGAGCGUUGUCCGAAGUUACUGGGCGUAAAGCGCACGUAGGCGGUUAUCUAAGUCUGGGGUGAAAGGUUCAGUGCUUAACGCGAACAGUGCCUUGGAGACUGGAUGACUUGAGUUUGGGAGAGGGUAGUGGAAUGGCUGGUGUAGCGGUGAAAUGCGUAGAUAUCAGUCGGAACACCAAUGCGAAGGCAGCUACCUGGCCUAAAACUGACGCUGAGGUGCGAAAGCGUGGGGAGCGAACGGG